CCAUCGCUAUCCAUCUCCUCGGCAUCGGGAACCGUGCAAAUGGGGGGAAAAUAUCUUCGCAAAAAAAAUAAUAAAAAUAAAUCUAACGGGUCUGCAAAUUAAUGGAGACUUAAUACAGACAGGCCCAAACUGUAGCAACCACAGAGCAACCUGCAUCCAAGGCACAAAGGAAGUGCCCAGCUAAAGCAGGAAAGCAGCCACCAGCCAAGAGGCAGGAUCCAGCCCACAGGCACAGCAGGAAAAUAGUUACCCCUCAAGGAUACCAUUAGGAGCUCCUGGCUGCUAGUAAGGUGACAUGCAAGACUAAUGGGGGAAAUGCAGUAAAAGUCACAAACAAAACAAUAAAUACGAAAAAAUUGUUCACACAAAGGAACAGAAGUCCACUUUGUACAUUUGUUUUUCAUUACGACCUUUAUUAUAGUCACAACUUA